AGAGACUCGCGCUAGGCAGAUCCACGUCCGUCACCGCACAAGAAGACAAACCACCACACUAAAGGACAAAGGAAAACUCAUUCGUAACUGUACUAACAUUCUGAUAAUAUUUCAACCAUUACGAAGGACAACUUAGUUGCAUUAUGGAGUGCUGAUAAUGCAUUAUGCAACGUGGACAAUGAGUUAUAGGUUGACAAUACCCGGCGACAUGUGAGGGUACAUUCGAAAUAGACGACUAAAAGAAUCUAGCACAGUUUUCCCCGCUGUUAGAUCCUGGUUAAAGGGAACAACUUACGAUGCGUGAACGCUGUCAGCCAG